GAAUAGUACCCAGCUUGUGAAGUUGUGCACCUGGUGUUUCGCUCGUGAUUUAUUUGUUUUGUCAGAAUUAUUGCCCUUGACAUAGUGAAAAUUUGCAACUUUUAAUUUGUGUCGUGUGUAGCUCAAAAAGUAUUUUACGUAGGGCAAUGAGACUUUACAGGAAGGUUGAUCAGCAUGUGUUGUUGUAUGCAGUAUUUCUAGAGUAAUUGACCUUGACUAAGUAAAAACCAUUCAAAAAUGUUGUGUUAUUUGUUCCUUGAGUGCUUGAGAUAGAAUAAACCAACUUUACAGGAAUACUGAUCAACAUCCAUGUGAAGUUGUGCACCUAGGGUUUUACAUGCAGCUUUGUUAGAGUUAUUGCCCUUGACUUUGUAUAAAUUUACAAUUUUCAACUUCAUGCAUAACUCAAAAGGUUUUUGACCCGUAAGCCUGAAAGUUUACAAGAGUGUUGGUCAGCAUGUGUAUUUAUGCACCUUGGGGUUUGCUUAUUCGUGUCCUUUAAUUAGUAAAUGAUUUUGACUUUACAACUUGUAGCACACAUGUAGCCUAAACAAAUAUUUGACUAGAGUCAUAAGAUUGACAAAACAACAGAGUGUGGGAGCACCCGUGUCCUAUGGCUACAUUUUAAGUUUCGAACUCAAAGUUUUCUCUUCAAUUCAUCUUUACUCUCCUGUAUAUAAAUUUUGGAUUAUCAAUGUCGGUUUAGAUUAUAGCAGAAUUUAUCAGCAAUUUUAUCACUCUGAAUUUAAUUCUAGAUUUAAUGAAAUAUUACUUCAGAAAUUAAAGUUAAAUGAAAUCAAAAUUUGUAUAAGAAUUUCAUAAAUGAUAACAUUUGUCGAUAAAAAAUUCCAAACACCGACGGAAAUGCCAAAAUACGCCUAAAAUCAAACAAACAAAAGAAAAGUAGUAAAAAUCACAAGUAGUCUUAAAUUACAAUUACAAUUGACAAACCGUCGUUAGCGGUAAUAUAAGUAUUUCAUUCAUAUGUAAAAGAACAUGGCAAUGAUAGCAUAAAUAGCCAAGAGUACAAGUUGUGUGCAUAUGAUUGCACGCGCUAGUGUGUGUGUUUUAUUUUCACAUGGCAUGAGAUUAAGAGAUUGUUAACGUGAUUUGUAGUCUCAUUAUUCUGAACAAAAUUUAAUAGUCAAUAAGGAUAUUUUUAAAGCAGUGUAAAUGAAUAAUGAAAUGAAAUAUUAUAAAACAAAACAGAACUUAAAUAUCUGUAAAACAUAACUAGAAAGUGUAAGAACUUAAAAUCUGAUAAUCUUUAGAAGAAAGUUUGUAUUCGGAAAUACUUAAGAUCAAUUAAAAAAGACGCGUAAAACAUUUCAGAAAGACCCUUUCUAUUAUUUUACUUAUUCCAGAAUGGCCAAUAAGAUUCCCAAUUUCAGUUUGUAACAUUCAAAGGCUACUUUUAUCCAAUUUCUCCAUAUAAACCUUUAAAUAAAUCGAUUUUAGACUGACUUCGAGAAUGAAUAUGCUUUGCAAAAUCUGGUCUGCUGUUUAACAUCAACAAGUUUAAGGACCUGGUCAUGUUUUCGCAUCAUUACAGUCGUUUUGCAAGUAGUUUAAAAUUGGUUAUCAUCAAGUUUUUUUUCUUUUGAUUAUACUUUUCGGAAAAUGUUUAUCAAUGGUACAAAAAUAUUUUGCUGAGUUUUAUUGACUGUUAAAAUUUAAAAAAGUAUCUUAAUCGAUUUUAAUUAGCCUAUUUCUUAUGUCUGUUAAAUCUUUAACAAUUUCAAGUUUAUGAUUGCUUUGUCAUUUCAUUAAAUUCAGGAAAUUAAUUUCAUGCCAUUUCAGGAAAUCCGAUCAACUGUAACUGCUGUUUAAUAAAAUGAUCGAAUGUAAAGCAAAUGUUCACAUUUCGCUGGUUGUAUUACAAUUUGUGGUUUGCAUGUCAGUCUAUUUAUAUUUGUACGCAAACAUUUUUAAUAGAAUAUAUAAAUCCAUGGACUGGGAUGAUGAAGAAAACCCUCAGGCGGUUUGGAAAGAUAAGUUUGGGGCUGAUUUUUUACAUCCCCUAGUAAUCGAACAGUUUUGCAAAGAUAUAGAAGAAGGAGUUUUGGCCAAACGAUCAAAAACAGCAACUGCUUCAGCUGCAACUAAUCCACCUAGUAACAACAGCAAAUCUGAGGUUGAUGAAUGUACUCAUAAAAAAUUGACACUGCUAGAAAAGUUUAAGUGUGAUAUAAUUGCAAAUAACUCUGAACCAUUGCUUACACUUUUUACUACAUGGAGU